rnacentral:rRNA from 1 species
AGUGAACGCUGGCGGUAGGCCUAACACAUGCAAGUCGAACGGCAGCACAGGAGAGCUUGCUCUCUGGGUGGCGAGUGGCGGACGGGUGAGGAAUACAUCGGAAUCUACUCUGUCGUGGGGGAUAACGUAGGGAAACUUACGCUAAUACCGCAUACGACCUACGGGUGAAAGCAGGGGACCUUCGGGCCUUGCGCGAUUGAAUGAGCCGAUGUCGGAUUAGCUAGUUGGCGGGGUAAAGGCCCACCAAGGCGACGAUCCGUAGCUGGUCUGAGGGGAUGAUCAGCCAAACUGGAACUGGGACACGGUCCAGACUCCUACGGGAGGCAGCAGUGGGGAAUAUUGGACAAUGGGCGCAAGCCUGCUCCAGCCAUACCGCGUGGGUGAAGAAGGCCUUCGGGUUGUAAAGCCCUUUUGUUGGGAAAGAAAUCCAGCUGGCUAAUACCCGGUUGGGAUGACGGUACCCAAAGAAUAAGCACCGGCUAACUUCGUGCCAGCCGCCGCCGUAA